rnacentral:rRNA from 1 species
CUUGCUGGAUAAGAAAGUGGCGCACGGGUGCGUAACGCGUAUGCAACCUACCUUAAUCAGGGGGAUAGCCCGGAGAAAUCCGGAUUAACACCGCAUAAAAUCACAGUACAGCAUUGUACAAUGAUCAAAUAUUUAUAGGAUUAAGAUGGGCAUGCGUGUCAUUAGCUAGUUGGCGGGGUAACGGCCCACCAAGGCGACGAUGACUAGGGGAUCUGAGAGGAUGACCCCCCACACUGGUACUGAGACACGGACCAGACUCCUACGGGAGGCAGCAGUAAGGAAUAUUGGUCAAUGGAGGCAACUCUGAACCAGCCAUGCCGCGUGCAGGAAGACGGCCCUCUGGGUUGUAAACUGCUUUUAUUCGGGAAUAAACCUCAGUACGUGUACUGAGCUGAAUGUACCGAAGGAAUAAGGAUCGGCUAACUCCGUGCCAGCAGCCGCGGUAAUACGGAGGAUCCAAGCGUUAUCCGGAUUUAUUGGGUUUAAAGGGUGCGUAGGCGGCCUGUUAAGUCAGGGGUGAAAGACGGUGGCUCAACCAUCGCAGUGCCCUUGAUACUGAUGGGCUUGAAUGAACUAGAGGUAGGCGGAAUGUGACAAGUAGCGGUGAAAUGCAUAGAUAUGUCACAGAACACCGAUUGCGAAGGCAGCUUACUAUGGUUUUAUUGACGCUGAGGCACGAAAGCGUGGGGAUCAAACAGGAUUAGAUACCCUGGUAGUCCACGCCCUAAACGAUGAAUACUCGCUGUUAGCGAUAUACAGUUAGCGGCUAAGCGAAAGCGUUAAGUAUUCCACCUGGGGAGUACGCCCGCAAGGGUGAAACUCAAAGGAAUUGACGGGGGCCCGCACAAGCGGAGGAGCAUGUGGUUUAAUUCGAUGAUACGCGAGGAACCUUACCCGGGCUUGAAAGUUACUGAAUAACUCAGAGAUGAGUUAGUCCUUCGGGACAGGAAACUAGGUGCUGCAUGGCUGUCGUCAGCUCGUGCCGUGAGGUGUUGGGUUAAGUCCCGCAACGAGCGCAACCCCUAUGUUUAGUUGCCAGCAUGUUAAGGUGGGGACUCUAAACAGACUGCCUGUGCAAACAGAGAGGAAGGAGGGGACGACGUCAAGUCAUCAUGGCCCUUACGUCCGGGGCUACACACGUGCUACAAUGGACGGUACAGAGGGCAGCUAGCUGGCAACAGCAUGCGAAUCUCAAAAAGCCGUUCACAGUUCGGAUAGAGGUCUGCAACUCGACCUCUUGAAGUUGGAUUCGCUAGUAAUCGCGUAUCAGCAAUGACGCGGUGAAUACGUUCCCGGGCCUUGUACACACCGCCCGUCAAGCCAUGGAAGUUGGGGGUACCUAA